UACGGGGGGAGCAAGCGUUGUUCGGAUUUACUGGGCGUAAAGGGCGCGUAGGCGGCCAGCGCAAGUCAGUUGUGAAAUCUCCGGGCUUAACUCGGAAAGGUCAACUGAUACUGCGCGGCUAGAGUGCAGAAGGGGCAACUGGAAUUCUCGGUGUAGCGGUGAAAUGCGUAGAUAUCAAGAGGAACACCAGUGGCGAAGGCGAGUCCCUGGACAACACCUGACACUGAGGCACGAAAGCUAGGGGAGCAAACAGG
rnacentral:rRNA from 1 species